rnacentral:rRNA from 1 species
GACGAACGCUGGCGGCGUGCUUAACACAUGCAAGUCGAACGGUGAUGGGUGGAGCUUGCUCUGCUUUGAUCAGUGGCGAACGGGUGAGUAACACGUGAGUAACCUGCCCCAGACUCUGGAAUAACCCCGGGAAACCGGUGCUAAUACCGGAUAUGACACAGAAUCGCAUGGUUUCUGUGUGGAAAGUUUUUCGGUUUGGGAUGGACUCGCGGCCUAUCAGCUUGUUGGUGAGGUAAUGGCUCACCAAGGCGACGACGGGUAGCCGGCCUGAGAGGGCGACCGGCCACACUGGGACUGAGACACGGCCCAGACUCCUACGGGAGGCAGCAGUGGGGAAUAUUGCACAAUGGGCGCAAGCCUGAUGCAGCGACGCCGCGUGAGGGAUGAAGGCCUUCGGGUUGUAAACCUCUUUCAGCUCUGAAGAAGCGAAAGUGACGGUAGGAGCAGAAGAAGCACCGGCUAACUACGUGCCAGCAGCCGCAGUAAUAC